GAUGAACGCUGGCGGCGUGCCUAAUACAUGCAAGUCGAGCGAACGGACGAGAAGCUUGCUUCUCUGAUGUUAGCGGCGGACGGGUGAGUAACACGUGGAUAACCUACCUAUAAGACUGGGAUAACUUCGGGAAACCGGAGCUAAUACCGGAUAAUAUUUUGAACCGCAUUGUUCAAAAGUGAAAGACGGUCUUGCUGUCACUUAUAGAUGGAUCCGCGCUGCAUUAGCUAGUUGGUAAGGUAACGGCUUACUAAGGCGACGAUGCAUAGCCGACCUGAGAGGGGGAUCGGCCACACUGGAACUGAGACACGGUCCAGACUACUACGGGAGGCAGCAGUAGGGAAUCUUCCGCAAUGGGCGAAAGCCUGACGGAGCAACGCCGCGUGAGUGAUGAAGGUCUUCGGAUCGUAAAACUCUGUUAUUAGGGAAGAACAUAUUUGUAAGUAACUGUGCACAUCUUGACGGUAACUAAUCAGAAAGCAACGGCUAACUACGUG
rnacentral:rRNA from 1 species